GUCUAUGGCCAUACCACCCUGAAUGCAUCCAAUUUCAUUGGAUCUUGGAAGCUAAGCAGGGUCAGGCCUGGUUAGUACUUGGAUGAGAGACCUCCUGGGAAUAUUGGGUGCUGUAGGAA
ensembl:rRNA 5S_rRNA 5S ribosomal RNA